rnacentral:rRNA from 1 species
AAACCGUUCAGGGGUAAACCUGAGAAACCCAAAAGAUCGAAUGGGGAGAUUCAUCGUCGACGGCGUUGGCUACCGUUUGUGCGCGAUGCUCCGGGUGGGACCCUGCGGUUCCAUUAGCGAGGGCACGCCACCUUCGGAUCGAACUUUCCUGCGUCGUAGUCGUGCACUUCUCCCCUAGUAGGACGUCGCGACCCGUUGUGUGUCGGUCUACGGCCCGAGCGGGAGACUGUCGCGUCGCUUCGGCGCACGCGGCAGACCCUCGGUCGCCCGGCCGGCUGCACGACGGUACACCAACGGUAUCGGGCCGCAGCCAAUCCAUUAUCGAAUGUGUGUGCGUCCAUCCCGCCGCAAGCUCGGUCAGUUCUUACCCGGAGGUACGGACCCUGUGCCGUCCCCGGGCCUGGCCAGCUGUUAGCAGGCGGUGUCCUCGGACCGGCCAAACCUCGGAUUACCGGUCGGCGACGCUAUUGCUUUGGGUACUCUCAGGACCCGUCUUGAAACACGGACCAAGGAGUCUAACAUGUGCGCGAGUCAUUGGGAUGCACAAACCUAAAGGCGAAAUGAAAGUGAAAGUCGGCCUUCGCGCCGAUCGAGGGAGGAUGGGCCGCGUAACCAUGCGGCCCCGCACUCCCGGGGCGUCUCGUUCUCACUGCGAGAAGAGGCGCACCUAGAGCGUACACGUUGGGACCCGAAAGAUGGUGAACUAUGCCUGGUCAGGACGAAGUCAGGGGAAACCCUGAUGGAGGUCCGUAGCGAUUCUGACGUGCAAAUCGAUCGUCGGAACUGGGUAUAGGGGCGAAAGACUAAUCGAA